rnacentral:rRNA from 1 species
CCUACGGGCGGCUGCAGUGGGGAAUAUUGCACAAUGGGGGGAACCCUGAUGCGGCGACGCCGCGUGAGUGAAGAAGUAUUUCGGUAUGUAAAGCCCUAUCAGCCGGGAAGAAGAUGACGGUACCUGACUAAGAAGCCCCGGCUAACUACGUGCCAGCAGCCGCGGUAAUACGUAGGGGGCAAGCGUUUUCCGGAUUUACGGGGCGUAAAGGGAGCGUAGACGGCAGGGCAAGUCUGGAGUGAAAGCCCGGGGGCCAACCCCGGGACUGCUUUGGAAACUGCCAUGCUAGAGUGCUGGAGAGGUAAGCGGAAUUCCUAGUGUAGCGGUGAAAUGCGUAGAUAUUAGGAGGAACACCAGUGGCGAAGGCGGCUUACUGGACAGUAACUGACGUUGAGGCUCGAAAGCGUGGGGAGCAAACAGGAUUAGAUACCCUGGUAGUC